rnacentral:rRNA from 1 species
AUACGGAGGAUCCGAGCGUUAUCCGGAUUUAUUGGGUUUAAAGGGUGCGCAGGCGGGAGAUUAAGUCGGCGGUGAAAUUUUGCCGCUCAACUGUAAAAGAGCCUUCGAUACUGGUUUCCUCGAGUGUGGCUGAAGAAGGCGGCAUUUGUGGUGUAGCGGUGAAAUGCUUAGAUAUCACGAGGAACUCCGAUUGCGCAGGCAGCUUACUAAACCACUACUGACGCUCAGGCACGAAGGCGUGGGGAUCAAACAGGAUUAGAUACCCUGGUAGUCCACGCAGUAAACGAUGAUUACUGGCUGUUUGCGAUACAAUGUAAGCGGCUGAGCGAAAGCGUUAAGUAAUCCACCUGGGGAGUACGUUCGCAAGAAUGAAACUCAAAGGAAUUGACGGGG